AAUACACAAGAAGAACAAGUAAAGGAUAACUUACAGUAGUAAGUGACCAAUUAACAAUAAGCUGUGACAUUAACGGAACCUUACGAGUAUCCACUUGCCAAGCCACUGCAGCUCCUGCACUCUGCACUCCUUUGUAGAAUCCACUAUAUCUACUCAAAGUCUGCGAAUCAUCAGCCAAUGCUCCUAUCAACCAAUAAACCAUACUCUGAUACAUUGCAUCUAACAAUCCAUAGCUCAUAUAUAACACGAAUGGUCCCGCAAACUCUAUCCCGGAAUCUUUAAAAUCAAGUUUCUUUUCCGGUAGUUUGUCCAACGAGUAACCGUGCUGAUUCGCUAACCCGCCCGCCCAUAUAAUGGUUCCGAUUACCGCGACUAGUGAUAUUCCGGUGAAUCCUCUAGCUCGCCGGCUUUUGAAGCUGAAGUCCAUCACGUAACCAAUGGCGAUGGAUCCAGCCAUUUGAGCUCCCCAGUAGAAGACAUUGUUGAAUCCUCUGGUUCUUAAGUUAAAGAGGAGUCCAUUCACAUUGUUGAAUUGAUAGCUGUAGAAGAAAUUGCUAGCCCAAGCCGCGGGGACGAUGAGGAGCAUUUUCCGAUCGAGGAAUAGCCGUAGCACGGCGGCUGCUUCAGUUGACGGACGGGAGUAUUUCACGGCAGAGCAUCUAGAUCCGUCGUUACGGAUCACGGAGGUCGCCGGGAGGAUACCGAAAGAGAGAAGAACGCCGGCGAACAUGAAACACAUGAACGCUAUGUACGUCGAGUCGUUGACCGAUGCGGCGGAGCUACGUUGGUAGUUGAGGAUAAACGGGAUUAAUCCACCGAUAACGCCGCCGAGAUUGAAGAUACUCCAGAACAACGCUAUGUAAGUGCCUUUCCGAUGCGGCGGAGGGUAUGACGUCAUCACAGCUCCUUCUCCGGCCCAGAGAAGUCCCGCGCCGCAACCGAGUAAAGCUCCGGCGACUAUCGCGAAGGCUUGGUGGUGGUGAUGGUUGUAGUAGAGGAAAGAUCCGGCGUAGAGUACGUAAGUCGAACAUCCAGCGGCUAACGUGAGCCGUGGACCGAGGACGUUGUAAAACCCGCCGCCUAAAAGGCCGAAAACGGUGAAAGCGGUGUAAACGGCGGUGUUAGCGUUGUUAGCAGCGGUUGGAUCUACUUGACCACCGCCUCCCAUGCCGGAGAGAGCGUUGAACAUUCCUGGACAACAGAAACAAACGAAUCCCAUUAAGCUCACUUGAGCUAGAGGAGAAUUAAAUCGCCAUUUGUUCUCCGGUGAUUUAUUCUCCUCUCCUCCGCCGUGUUUCUCCGCCGUAGUUUUUCCCUCGUCUCUCACAUUCAUGAUCGGAUAAAAUGGUUAAAGAUGAGAAUUUUAAUAUUCUUCUCGUAAACUCAAAACAGGGCUCGGAUCUGUGACUGUUUGUGAUCCGUCUGUUACGAUUCUUUCUUUAGUAGUAGCGGACAUUUUCAUGGGAAUAAAUAUUAACUAAAACUUAAUUUUCUAACAAAACAAAAUUGAUGCUCUCUACUGGUUUAAUCUAAUCCUAGUAAACUGUAAUAACUAGAGCGAAAAGAACAUGUCAAUGAAUGUUAUCUGUUACGUUCUUUCUACGAAAAUAAAAGUCAAACGUCAUUAUUUUUAGAAAAACAAUAGCUACUUCUUCACGUUGACACUGACAACCAAAAAACUAGUACUCCCUCUGUUGUUUAGAAAAACAUAAAAGAAAACAUGUUACUAAAAAAUAGUUAUAAAUAUAUAAUUUUUUUGUAUUUUACAAUUUUCUGAUUUUUAAAUUAAAAAUGUUUAAUUAUUUUUCUUAAAACUUACAAUUCAUUAAUAAUAACCAAUAAAUAUUACAUAAAA
rnacentral:sRNA from 1 species